AGUUUGGCUCGCUUACAUCUUUACUUUAAUACGAUUGAGAAUCUGUGUUCGGUGUCUGAUCUGUGUAAGAUCUCACAUCAGUUCACGGUUUCUGAUCUGUAGAAGAGCUCAGAGCAGCGCGCGACUUCACAACAGCGCGAGAUGAAAUGAUUCAGCACAAGUUCAGAAGUUUCAGGCCUGUUAGCGUCGAUGGACAACAAACAUAACCUGUUGAAGUUUGGCAUUUAAUUUUAAAACCUAAUAUUGCUUGAGUGAAAGAAAAAGUUUCUUCUAAAAAACAAUAUUUAAGAUGAAAAUCUAAGUUUGCAGGUUCAAUGUACACACGUCCACCCCUGAGAGGAGCUCCGUCACAGAAAGUGUCUUGAAGCAAAGUCAUCGCUUCAACCUCCAUGAAAUGAUUCUGCACAAGUUCAGAAGUUUCAGGCCCGCUAGCGUCGAUGGACAACAAACAUAACCUGUUAAAGUUUGCCAUUUUAAUUUUAAAACCUAAUAUUGCUUGAGUGAAAGAAAAAGUGUCUUCUAAAAAACAAUAUUUAAGAUGAAAAUCUAAGUUUGCAGGUUCAAUGUACACACGUCCACCCCUGAGAGGAGCUCCGUCACAAAAAGUGUCUUGAAGCAAAGUCAUCACUUCAACCGCUAUGAAAUGAUUCCGCACAAGUUCAGAAGUUUCAGGCCUGUUAGCGUCGAUGGACAACAAAUAUAACCUGUUAAAGUUUGGCAUUUUAAUUUUAAAAUCUAAUAUUGCUUGAGUGAAAGAAAAAGUUUCUUCUAAAAAACAAUAUUUAAGAUGAAAAUCUAAGUUUGCAGGUUCAAUGUACACACGUCCACCCCUGAGUGGAGCUCCGUCACAGAAAGUGUCUUGAAGCAAAGUCAUCACUUCAACCGCUGUGAGUUUGUUAAAACAACAUUAUAUCAGCGAGACAAAGUGAGAUUUGUAAUAUUUAAACAAAUGUUUGAGGGUUCGGAAUAUAACCUGUGAAAGUUUGGCAUUUUAAUUUUAAAACCUACUAUUGCUUGAGUGAAAGAAAAAGUUUCUUCUAAAAAACAAUAUUUAAGAUGAAAAUCUAAGUUUGCAGGUUCAAUGUACACACGUCCACCCCUGAGAGGAGCUCCGUCACAAAAAUUUCUUGAAGCAAAGUCAUCACUUCAACUGCUAUGAAAUGAUUCCGCACAAGUUCAGAAGUUUCAGGCCUGUUAGCGUCGAUGAACAACAAACAUAACCUGUUAAAGUUUGGCAUUUUAAUUUUAAAACCUAAUAUUGCUUGAGUGAAAGAAAAAGUUUCUUCUAAAAAACAAUAUUUAAGAUGAAAAUCUAAGUUUGCAGGUUCAAUGUACACACGUCCACCCCUGAGAGGAGCUCCGUCACAAAAAGUGUCUUGAAGCAAAGUCAUCACUUCAACCGCUAUAAAAUGAUUCUGCACAUGUUCAGAAGUUUCAGGCCCGCUAGCGUCGAUGAACAACAAAUAUAACCUGUUAAAGUUUGGCAUUUUAAUUUUAAAACCUAAUAUUGCUUGAGUGAAAGAAAAAGUUUCUUCUAAAAAAAAAUAUUUAAGAUGAAAAUCUAAGUUUGCAGGUUCAAUGUACACACGUCCACCCCUGAGAGGAGCUCCGUUACAGAAAGUGUCUUGAAGCAAAGUCAUCGCUUCAACCGCUAUGAAAUGAUUCCGCACAAGUUCAGAAGUUUCAGGCCCGCUAGCGUCGAUGGACAACAAAUAUAACCUGUUAAAGUUUGGCAUUUUAAUUUUAAAACCUAAUAUUGCUUGAGUGAAAGAAAAAGUUUAUUCUAAAAAACAAUAUUUAAGAUGAAAAUCUAAGUUUGCAGGUUCAAUGUACACACGUCCACCCCUGAGUGGAGCUCCGUCACAAAAAGUGUCUUGAAGCAAUGUCAUCACUUCAACCGCUGUGAGUUUGUUAAAACAACAUUAAAUCAGCGAGACAAAGUGAGAUUUGUAAUAUUUAAACAAAUGUUUGAGGGUUCGGAAUGUAACCUGUGAAAGUUUGGCAUUUUAAUUUUAAAACCUACUAUUGCUUGAAUGACAGAAAAAGUUUCUUCUAAAAAAACAAUAUUUAAGAUGAAAAUCUUAGUUUGCAGGUUCAAUGUACACACGUCCACCCCUGAGUGGAGCUCCGUCACAGAAAGUGUCUUGAAGCAAAGUCAUCACUUCAACCGCUAUGAAAUGAUUCCGCACAAGUUCAGAAGUUUCAGGCCCGCUAGCGUCGAUGGACAACAAAUAUAACCUGUUAAAGUUUGGCAUUUUAAUUUUAAAACCUAAUAUUGCUUGAGUGAAAGGAAAAGUUUAUUCUAAAAAACAAUAUUUAAGAUGAAAAUCUAAGUUUGCAGGUUCAAUGUACACACGUCCACCCCUGAGAGGAGCUCCGUCACAAAAAGUGUCUUGAAGCAAAGUCAUCACUUCCACCAUCAUGAAAAUCUUAGUUUGCAGGUUCAAUGUACACACGUCCACCCCUGAGUGGAGCUCCGUCACAGAAAGUGUCUUGAAGCAAUGUCAUCACUUCAACCGCUUUUGCAGGUUCAAUGUACACACGUCCACCCCUGAGUGGAGCUCCGUCACAAAAAGUGUCUUGAAGCAAAGUCAUCGCUUCAACCGCUAUGAAAUGAUUCUGCACAAGUUCAGAAGUUUCAGGCCCGCUAGCGUCGAUGGACAACAAAGAUAACCUGUGAAAGUUUGGCAUUUUAAUUUUAAAACCUAAUAUUGCUUGAAUGACAGAAAAAGUUUCUUCUAAAAAACAAUAUUUAAGAUGAAAAUCUGAGUUUGCAGGUUCAAUGUACACACGUCCACCCCUGAGUGGAGCUCCGUCACAAAAAGUGUCUUGAAGCAAAAUCAUCGCUUCAACCAUCAGCGAAGAGGAUUUGCCACUACAUAGCGAAGAGGAUUUGCCACUACAAAGCGAAGAGGAUUUGCCACUACAUAGCGAAGAGGAUUUGCCACUACAGAGCGAAGAGGAUUUGCCACUACAUAGCGAAGAGGAUUUGCCACUACAUAGCGAAGAGGAUUUGCCACUACAAAGCGAAGAGGAUUUGCCACUACAUAGCGAAGAGGAUUUGCCACUACAUAGCGAAGAGGAUUUGCCACUACAUAGCGAAGGGGAUUUGAUUUGCCCCUUCAGAGCGAAGGGGAUUUGAUUUGCCCCUUCAAAGCGAAGGGGAUUUGAUUUGCCCCUUCAGAGCGAAGGGGAUUUGAUUUGCCCCUUCAGAGCGAAGGGGAUUUGAUUUGCCCCUUCAGAGCGAAGGGGAUUUGAUUUGCCCCUUCAGAGCGAAGGGGAUUUGAUUUGCCCCUUCAGAGCGAAGGGGAUUUGAUUUUGCCCCUUCAGAGCGAAGGGGAUUUGAUUUGCCCCUUCAGAGCGAAGGGGAUUUGAUUUUGCCCCUUCAGAGCGAAGGGGAUUUGAUUUGCCCCUUCAGAGAAUGUCAUGAUUAGAUUGUGUAUCUGAUUGUGUGUAACUAACAGGGAUCUGUACCUCAGAUUGUUCAUCAUUGUGGGUUGAAUGUCAUGUUUAUAUUGUGUAACUGAUUGUGUGUAACUAACAGGGAUCUGUACCUCAGAUUGUUCAUCAUUGUGGGUUGAAUGUCAUGUUUAUAUUGUGUAACUGAUUGUGUGUAACUAACAGGGAUCUGUACCUCAGAUUGUUCAUCAUUGUGGGUUGAAUGUCAUGAUUAUAUUGUGUAUCUGAUUGUGUGUAACUAAGAGGGAUCUGUACUUCACAUUGUUCAUCUGUGUCCUUUUGUUGUGGGUUGAAUGUCAUGUUUAUAUUGUGUAACUGAUUGUGUGUAACUAACAGGGAUCUGUACCUCAGAUUGUUCAUCAUUGUGGGUUGAAUGUCAUGUUUAUAUUGUGCAACUGAUUGUGUGUAACUAACAGGGAUCUGUACCUCAGAUUGUUCAUCAUUGUGGGUUGAAUGUCAUGUUUAUAUUGUGUAACUGAUUGUGUGUAACUAACAGGGAUCUGUACCUCAGAUUGUUCAUCAUUGUGGGUUGAAUGUCAUGUUUAUAUUGUGUAACUGAUUGUGUGUAACUAACAGGGAUCUGUACCUCAGAUUGUUCAUCAUUGUGGGUUGAAUGUCAUGAUUAUAUUGUGUAUCUUAUUGUGUGUAACUAAGAGGGAUCUGUACUUCACAUUGUUCAUCUGUGUCCUUUUGUUGUGGGUUGAAUGUCAUGUUUAUAUUGUGUAACUGAUUGUGUGUAACUAACAGGGAUCUGUACCUCAGAUUGUUCAUCAUUUUGGGUUGAAUGUCAUGUUUAUAUUGUGUAACUGAUUGUGUGUAACUAACAGGGAUCUGUACCUCAGAUUGUUCAUCAUUGUGGGUUGAAUGUCAUGUUCAUAUUGUGUAUCUGAUUGUGUGUAACUAACAGGGAUCUGUACCUCAGAUUGUUCAUCAUUGUGGGUUGAAUGUCAUGUUUAUAUUGUGUAUCUGAUUGUGUGUAACUAAGAGGGAUCUGUACUUCACAUUGUUCAUCUGUGUCCUUUUGUUGUGGGUUGAAUGUCAUGUUUAUAUUGUGUAACUGAUUGUGUGUAACUAACAGGAAUCUGUACUUCACAUUGUUCAUCAGUGUUCUCAUGUUGUGCGUUGAAUGUCAUGAUUAGAUUCUGUAACUGAUUGUGUGUAACUAACAGGGAUCUGUACCUCAGAUUGUUCAUCAUUGUGGGUUGAGUGUCAUGAUUAUAUUGUGUAUCUGAUUGUGCGUAACUAACAGGGAUCUGUACUUCACAUUGUUCAUCUGUGUUCUUUUGUUGUGCGUUGAAUGUCAUGAUUAUAUUGUGUAUCUGAUUGUGUGUAACUAACAGGGAUCUGUACCUCAGAUUGUUCAUCAUUGUGGGUUGAGUGUCAUGAUUAUAUUGUGUAUCUGAUUGUGCGUAACUAACAGGGAUCUGUACUUCACAUUGUUCAUCUGUGUUCUUUUGUUGUGCGUUGAAUGUCAUGAUUAUAUUGUGUAUCUGAUUGUGCGUAACUAACAGGGAUCUGUACUUCACAUUGUUCAUCUGUGUUCUUUUUUUGUGCAUUGAAUGUCAUGAUUAUAUUGUGUAUCUGAUUGUGCGUAACUAACAGGGAUCUGUACUUCACAUUGUUCAUCUGUGUUCUUUUGUUGUGUGUUGAAUGUCAUGAUUAUAUUGUGUAACUGAUUGUGUGUAACUAACAGGGAUCUGUACCUCAGAUUGUUCAUCAUUGUGGGUUGAAUGUCAUGAUUAUAUUGUGUAUCUGAUUGUGCGUAACUAACAGGGAUCUGUACUUCACAUUGUUCAUCUGUGUUCUUUUGUUGUGCGUUGAAUGUCAUGAUUAUAUUGUAUAUCUGAUUGUGCGUAACUAACAGGGAUCUGUACCUCAGAUUGUUCAUCAUUGUGGGUUGAAUGUCAUGAUUAUAUUGUGUAACUGAUUGUGCGUAACUAACAGGGAUCUGUACUUCACAUUGUUCAUCUGUGUUCUUUUGUUGUGCGUUGAAUGUCAUGAUUAUAUUGUAUAUCUGAUUGUGCGUAACUAACAGGGAUCUGUACCUCAGAUUGUUCAUCAUUUUGGGUUGAAUGUCAUGUUUAUAUUGUGUAACUGAUUGUGUGUAACUAACAGGGAUCUGUACCUCAGAUUGUUCAUCAUUGUGGGUUGAAUGUCAUGAUUAUAUUGUUUAACUGAUUGUGUGUAACUAACAGGGAUCUGUACCUCAGAUCUUUUGUUGUGCGUUGAAUGUCAUGAUUCGAUUGUGUAACUGAUUGUGUACAGCUGUAAACCUUCACACAUUGGAUUUAAACAAAAAUUAACCCAUCUUCACUUUGGAUGCAAUAGGCCAUUAUUUGACAUUUCAAAUAUCAAAGGAAAAUGUGUUAAUCUAGUGAACACAAGUCUGUUUUAUCUUCUAAUAAACAUUAAUCAUUAUCCUGAUUUAUUACUCUGCAUGUCACAGUGGUGUAACUUUCUUCAGAAAAAAUUCUAAUACUUGGAUUGUACCAGUAGGAGGCACACUUGAGCAAUUAAUGUGACUUACUUUCUGCGACUCCCUUGCUCACAAAAAAGUCUUCUGCCUGAUUUAUAUAAAAAAUGUGAACAGGGAAAACCCACAGGCACAACUGACAAAACCUUAUCUAAUCCUUGCAUGAUUGUUGCAAUAUAUCUGGUAAACAAAUCUCUCGGUCUUUAACAUGCUGACAACCUUUUGACACAUGACUC